GUAACACGGCACACACACACACCACCCACCCAGCUCUCGAGACAUACCCUCCUAUUUAAAGGGAAUCCACUGUACUAAGAAAUGAAUCUUUUUUGGUUUAAAUCAACCGAGCUGGCUUGAGGAGGAUGCAUCAAUACCUGCUAGUGACCUGAAAUAACCAGGAUGCCUGGGUUCCUGCAAUGCCAGCGGUGGUCGGAGACUUAGCAGAUGGAAAAAAAGCAGGCAAAGUGAAAGAGGGAAGAACCGCAGGGUGAAAGAUGAGAUCCCUCGGCAGCGACAGCUCUGGCAGGACCCAGGGACACAACGCACUCAAAUCGAAAUUCUGCUAUGCAAGUUCAACAUCAGAAUUAGUUGAUACCACAGUGAGAAAUACACAGUUAUUUCAAUGAAAAGAAUGGUUCUGUUUCAAAGGGUGAGAAAUGAAGCUGUAUGAGAAAAAGAUACUAAGGUAAGAGGAAAAAGCAGAGAUCCUGAAUGACCCUGCUGCCCUUCCAGCAAUCCCUCCUGAAGCUGCCACUAGCAGCAGCAUUGCCUGCCAGAAAAAUGGUACAUCGCUAUUAUUAGCACAAUGAGGGGACAUGAUGGGUUGACUCUUCCUUAUAUUGGCAGCUAUGUUGAACGAUUCCAUCCAAAAGCAACAAUUCCCAUUAAUAAAAGUAACAAGGAUAGGCCUGCAUUUGGCCAGAGACCAGUAGAGUUGUGGAGGAGAGGAAAACAAAAAAAUCAAACCAAAGAAAUGCCAAAAAACCCAUGCAGACCUUUCAGACAUGAGAAAACAGAAGACUGAUCUUCCCAAGAAAGAGCAACCCCUGAAAACACAUUUACCUGUAACUAUAAUAAACAUUCAUAGAAGUACUCUAAAUUGAAAGGCAGGGAACACAGCCAUAAACAUUACAUUUCAUCCAAAUCUGUGAACUUCAGCUUUUUAAGGAGCUAAUGGAAAUGUGAAGUGACUGGUGAAAAUAUUUAGCGCUAACUGACAGUUUGCUAAAAAGACUAUCACACUCUUUGGAUUUAUGAGUCGUCUAAGGAUUUGUCAUAACUUGAUUUUAAGCUAAGUAUCUAAUGUGAACUGAAGCUAGAACCACGUUGCGGCUCCCUCUGAAGUGAGAUUUUUCAAAGGCAAUGUCAGCCUGGAAUAAAAGAUGAGAGAGAAGUGGGUUAUCACCCUACUAAUGUCUCUUUGCAGAUGCAAAGAGGACAGUAAAACAAGCAAAACUAUACAUUUCACCCUCAAUAACAGUCACUGGUAAAAUAUUUGAGAAUGGAUUUUCAGACACAAAUCUAUGCAAAGUACGUGGCCAACGCUGCUGCUCCAGUGGGACAUCACAUCAUGGAAGAAACAAGAUAAAUAUGGGACAUUAAAUAGUCUGAACACCACCACAGCUGAUGCCCAGUGACGGCAGCGAUUCAAUGCGAGCCAAGCUCUGGUGCGUUUGCUCAGGCAAGCAGCAGAGAGAAGGAUGAACUCUCACUGUGGAGAACCAGUGCCACGUGGAUCCAAAGUACAGGGCACAACCAGACAGACAUACCGGAGCCAACGCAGCGCGGACAGGUGCCAAGAUGCAGCGAGCAGCAGUCCGAGCUGGCACAGGUAUCCCGCAGCAGCAACCGUGGCUAUCCUACCUCUCCCAGCUUCCCAGCUGCAGCUAGUAAAACCCAGUAGAUGUUGUCACAUCAUCUUUGCUAGAAAGCUACACACACACAACUAGGAAACAAUGAUUGACACAAGCAUGACCUAGUAAUUUAAAGUAGAGAGAAGUGUUAUCUGUGAUCCUUUCAAAAUCAAAGAUGUCAACAAACAACAGAAGCACAAAGAGCACCAGGAAAAACAAUUGGAAAGCUUUAAUAAAGGUUGUGGGUUUUUUUAAAUGCAACCAUAGACUGCCUCUCCACAAAUCUAACAUCUCUUACACACAUCCUCAACAUGUACAAUUGGUCAGUACUUCUUCCACAAGACUAAGAACAGACAGUAUACAUUAAAGAUAUAAGUAAUGUGUAAUUAAUCUAAAGAAAGUAGGUAUAGCUGUUUCCUCCUUGUGUUGGGUUUGCGUGGCAAGGUUU